UACGUGCGUGUGUGCGUGCGUGCGGGCGUCUGCGGACAGACAGAUGCGUGCGUACGCGACAAACGUGCGUGAUGUUAUGCGUUCGUUACGUCGAGGUUACGUCGAACUUCCCGAAUAUAUACUACAUAUUGCUCAUCGUUAGCCUGUGCUGUCAUUUGCCAAGGAAAAACGGUCACUGACCGGCGAAAGACUUAAGACCAUGAGUAAAAAUAAGAAUGGACCGCCGAAUUAAUUAAGAUAAAUACUUGCUGAUUGAAAUAAUUAAAGAAAAGAAAACAGUGUAAGAACUGCGUGCAAAAUGAUCGAAAUGAAAAUUGAGAUAAAUAAAAGUGAGAUAAAAA